rnacentral:rRNA from 1 species
CGGAGGGCAAGUCUGGUGCCAGCAGCCGCGGUAAUUCCAGCUCCAAUAGCGUACGUUAAAGUUGCUGCAGUUAAAAAAGCUCGUAGUUGAACGUUCGGGUUCCGCGGGACGGGGCCGCCCCGCGAGGGACGGCGCCGCCCCGGGGCUCGUGAUAUCUUAUCUCGCCGCCCGUCGCGAGGCGGACGGAGGGAUGGAUGAGGUUACCUGGAAAAAAUCGGGGCGAUCUAGGCGGGCGAACCUCGCCAACGAACGAUCGGACAUGGGAUAACGGAAGAGGGCGUCGGCUCGACUUCGUCGGUUCCUCGGGCCGAGGCACGUACGGUGAAUAGGGACGGUCGGGGCCGCCCGUACCGGGUCGUGAGAGGUGAAAUUCUAGGAUCGACCCGAGACGAACUGCCGCGAAAGCAUUCGGCAAGGACGCUUUCAUUAAUCAAGAACGAAAGUCGGGGGAUCGAAGACGAUCAGAUACCGUCGUAGUCCCGACCGUAAACGAUGCC